rnacentral:lncRNA from 13 species
AUCAACCAUUGCGGCCAUGGGCAAUUACAUUCCAAUUCCAGGACGUCACCUCUGGGCAUAGCUGCUGCUGUCUGGAAAGCCGAUACUGCUGGAUCUUUCUUGGGUUAGGAGCUGUAGGAGGCUCCGUAGCUGAAAAAUGACUUCCCUCCAGGCCUGCAGUGCUGGAUUACGUUCUUAGGGAUUAAAUAAGAAUCUCACCUCUUCUAGCAUCACCAGUGUCAGCAAAAGUCCAUUACCACUACUGGCAUAAAAUUCAAUACCUUAUUGAUAGGAACUGGCAUCAUGUGUUUAUAUUAAAAGAGACAAGAGACGGAGGGGACAUCAAGAAGCUGUCGGCUUGUCUCCAGAGUUCAUCCGAGUGGAUAAAAUAUCCAGUUUGUUUCAAAUCAGCCUUUUUCCUUUGAAGCAUCAGCAUGUGCUUCAGUGGAAGCUUCUCCAGAGCAGUGGAUCAAGAGUGGGACUCUGUAGCAAAUACCACAGGAGCAAGCUGGCUGGACAGGAGACAAAGCUCUCUGUGAGCUGAGAUGUCCAGUUGCUGUGUGUGAGCCAUGAAGCUUCCCUCGCUUACUGGACUGAAAUCCAUGAAGGCAAGAUCAGAACUUGUCUUACUUGCCAUUGUAUCUGGUGAGUUGUGACGUUCCUGGCAUCUAAUAAAUGCUUCAUACACAGCUUUUGAGUGCA